UGCAGUCAUACAACGCUGAUUUGCAUGCACUGUGAUGAAGUUUCAUCUUCAGGGCUGUGAUGAUGUUCAAGAGGUCUUUGUACAGUGUUAUGUAUAGUGGCUGCUACAGGAAUAGUAGGCCUUUGAGGCCUAGAGCACAUGCAGAUCCAACAAGCAGCAGACAGAUCAAGUGCAAUCCUACACCGUAACCUUUCCGCAACCUCUCCAAGAUGCAGGUCUUCCAUGGAAAGGCACCACCUGUAACUGCAGAACCUCUCACCUACAUUUUAACCUGUCACCUACCUCAAGUACAAUGGCUCCCACAAAUCAAGCACUUCACAACCUAAAAGGUUCUCUUUCUUCACCUAAAGUCUAAAGACAGUCAUCACUAUCUGGAUCUUAAUUAAAUAUUGUAGCAUACCAUCUGUAAGCAACUGUUAAACUGAAUUAAAUACAUGGCAUCUUC